rnacentral:rRNA from 1 species
CCUACGGGAGGCUGCAGUGAGGAAUAUUGUUCAAUGGCCGGAAGUCUGAACCAGCCAAGCCGCGUGAAGGACGAAGGUGCCAAGCAUUGUAAACUUCUUUUGUCAAGGGACAAAAUCCGGCUCGAGAGCCUGACCGAGUGUACUUUAAGAAAAAGCAUCGGCUAACUCCGUGCCAGCAGCCGCGGUAAUACGGGGGAUGCGAGCGUUAUCCGGAUUUAUUGGGUUUAAAGGGUGCGUAGGGGGGCUGUUAAGUCAGCGGGAAAAGCCCGGGGCUCAACCCCGGCGAGCCGUUGAAACUGGCUGUCUGGAGAUGUCGAGAGGUAGGCGGAAUGCGCAGUGUAGCGGUGAAAUGCUUAGAUAUUGCGCAGAACUCCGAUUGCGAAGGCAGCAUACCGGAGGCGAUCUGACGCUGAGGCACGAAAGCGUGGGUAUCGAACAGGAUUAGAUACCCCAGUAGUC